rnacentral:rRNA from 1 species
CGCCUCUUGCUACACCCAGUAUAAGAGGUCUCGCCUGCCCAGUGAUAAUUUUAACGGCCGCGGUAUCAUGACCGUGCAAAGGUAGCGUAAUCACUUGUCUUUUAAAUAAAGACCCGUAUGAAAGGCAAAACGAAAAUUCAACUGUCUCUUUAAUCUAAUCAGUGAAAUUAAUCUCUCCGUGCAGAAGCGGAGAUAACCAUAUAAGACGAGAAGACCCUAUGGAGCUUUAAACAUGAAAUUAACCACACAAACCAACAACCAACAGGUAAAAAAUAAAAAUGUGUGGCCAUACCCUGAGUUUUCGGUUGGGGCGACCACGGAAGAAGAAAAUCCUCCGAGAUAAAUAACUUAGAACAACACUUCAAAGACUAAAACACUUGCUAUAAAAUGAUCCACUAAGUGACCAACGAACCAAGUUACCCUAGGGAUAACAGCGCAAUCCUUUCUAAGAGUCCAUAUCGACGAAUGGGUUUACGACCUCGAUGUUGGAUCAGGACACCCAAAUGGUGCAGCCGCUAUUAAAGGUUCGUUUGUUCAACGAUUAAAGUCCU